GAUGAACGCUAGCGGCAGGCCUAAUACAUGCAAGCCGAACGGCAAGUCUGAUAGCAAUAUUAGACCUAGAGUGGCGUAAGGGUGCGUAACACGUAUGCAAUCUACCCGCAACAGGAGGAUAGCUCGGGGAAACUCGAAUUAACCCUCCAUAAGAUCUUAGACCGGCAUCGGUUAGAGAUUAAAUCUGAGGAGGUUGCGGAUGAGCAUGCGUCUGAUUAGCUAGUUGGCGGGGUAAUGGCCCGCCAAGACGAUGAUCAGUAGGGGAACUGAGAGGUUGAUCCCCCACACUGGCACUGAGAUACGGGCCAGACUCCUACGGGAGGCAGCAGUAGGGAAUAUUGGUCAAUGGAUGGAAGUCUGAACCAGCCAUGCCGCGUGC
rnacentral:rRNA from 1 species